AAUCAAAACUGAGCUGUGAACG
rnacentral:snRNA from 1 species